rnacentral:rRNA from 1 species
GACGAAGGAUGCAAGCGUUAUCCGGAUUCAUUGGGUUUAAAGGGAGCGUAGGUGGUCUUAUAAGUCAGUGGUGAAAUCUCUGGGCUUAACCCAGAAAUUGCCAUUGAUACUGUAGGACUUGAGUAUAGUUGCCGUUGGCGGAAUAUGACAUGUAGUGGUGAAAUACAUAGAGAUCGGGAAGAACAUCAGUGGCGAAGGCGGCCUGCUGGGCUGUUGCUGACGCUGAGGCGCGACAGCGUGGGGAGCAAACAGG